GGAAGUAUGCGCAAGUGACGGUACCUGCAGAAGAAGCACCGGCUAACUACGUGCCCAGCAGCCCGCGGUAAUACGUGAAGGGUGCGAGCGUUGUCCGGAAUUAUUGGUCCGUAAAGAGCUCGUAGGCAGCCUGUCGCGUCGGAUGUGAAAGCUCGGGGCUUAAACCCCGGGUCUGCAUUCGAUACGGGCAGGCUAGAGUGUGGUAGGGGAGAUCGGAAUUCCCUGGUGUAGCGGUGAAAUGCGCAGAUAUCAGGAGGAACACCGGUGGCGAAGGCGGAUCUCUGGGCCAUUACUGACGCUGAGGAGCGAAAGCGUAGGGAGCGAACAGGAUUAGAUACCCUGGUAGUCCACGCCGUAUACGUUGGGAACUAGGUGUUGGCGACAUUCCACGUCGUCGGUGCCGCAGCUAACGCAUUAAGUUCCCCGCCUGGAGGAGUACGGCCGCAAGGCUAAAACUCAAAGGAAUUGACGGGGGCCCGCACAAGCAGCGGAGCAUGUGGCUUAAUUCGACGCAACGCGAAGAACCUUACCAAGGCUUGACAUACACCGGAAACUGGGUAGAGAUAUCAGCCCCCUUGUGGUCGGUGCACAGGUGGUGGCAUGGCAUGUCGUCAGCUCGUGUCGUGAGAUGGUUGGGGUUAAGUCCCGCAACGAGCGCAACCCUUUGUUCUGCGUUGCCAGCGACCAAUGACAUUGUUACUGGGUCAGGGGACUCACAGGAAACUUGCCGGGAGUCAACUUCCAAAGGAAGGUUGGGGACGACGCUCCAAUCAUCAUGGCCCCUUAUUGCUUGGGCCUGCGACACGUGCUACAAUGGGUCCGGUAACAAAAGGGCUGCGAUGCCAUCGACGCGAGAGCCGAAUCCCAAAAAAGCCGGGUGUGGUUUCCUAAAUUGGGGGUCUGGAAUUUGAACCCU
rnacentral:rRNA from 1 species